GCAGGUAUGGCGGAAUUGGCAGACGCGCUAGACUUAGGAUCUAGUGGAGUGAUUCGUGCAGGUUCAAGUCCUGUUACCUGCA
rnacentral:tRNA from 1 species